ACUCAAGUGCAGGAGGCCCAAGGAGAAGAAACCCUAGACAUAACCCCUCCCAUUGCUUAUAAAAGGAGAAGUUUCCCUAGGGUUCAGCCACAAGAGAGACAGCAAGCGAAGCCCUGCCUGAGCAGAACCCCGCCGCCGCCUCCGCCUCAAGCCGCCGCCGCUCCAUCUCCGGCGAAGCCAGCCGCCAGCCGCCCGCGAAGCCCUAGCCGCCGCAACCGAGCUCCUAGCCGCCGCCUCCUUGAUUCAGUUUCGUGCAAGCAACUGAGAUCUGAACCCUAAAGAUCUCGAGAAGUGACUGUUCCCCAAACCUAGAUCCAGAUCUACUUCUGCAAAAAGCUAAGGUAGGGCCGAGAGGGAGCGGGAGUAGAUGUCCGUAUGGUGCAAGUGUUUUCUCGAGUCUUUCAUUUAUGACUCCUUUCUUUCAACCAUUUCUUCUUAAGUUUUUAUUCGACAUUUCAGUUUUGUUGAGUUUGGUUUUA